CUGGUAUAUACUUUCCCCCAAUUUAUCUGUAAGUGCUAGCAUGAUUUACUUAAGAAAAAUAUAUUUGGAAAUUUCCACUUCCUCUUACAAGCUCUCUUAUGGGAGUAAGUACAGAAGAGGCUUUUAGAAGGUCGCACGUAUUCAGUAGGAAAAUUCAGGGACCAGAGGGCUGACAGCCAACCUCACAGGACCUGUUGUGACUUCCUGCUGGUGGGAGGACUCACCUGCACCAGGCCAGGCAGUCAACAAAACGGAGGCUUACCUCGCCUAAGGCUGGAGCUGGACAGGGUCUGCAUGCUGGUGAGGAAAGUGCGAUCUGCGUGUGGUGAGAAUAACUCCUGUUUUCCUUUCAGUCUUCUUUAGGAAUGCUUACCUUUACUGCCUGUGAUUCCAGCUCUACAAUUUUGAAACAUCUUUUAUAAAAAAGAGUGAAAUAAUGCCAUUUGCAAAAACAAUGGAUGGGCCUAGAGACUGUCAUGCUAAAUGAAGGAAGUCAGAAAGAGAAAGACGAAUACCAUGUGAUGUCACUUUUGCAUGGGAGCUUUCCAGGUGGCACAGUGGUAACGAAUCUGCUUGCCAACACAGGAGACUUGAGGGACACGGAUUCAAUCCCUGGGUUGGAAAGAUCCCCUGGAGAAGGAAAGGACAACCCACUCCAGUGUUCUCUCCUGGAGAAUGCCAUGGACAGAGGAGCCUGGUGGGCUACCAUCCAUGGGAUCACAAAGAGUCAACAGGACGAAAACAGCUUAGUAUGUCACUUGCAUGUAGAAUCUGCAUAUGACACAAACAUGUGAAACAGAAAGGAACUCACAGACAUAGGAGACAGACUUGUGGUUGCCAAGGGGGAGGGAUGGAUUGGGAGUUUGGAA
ensembl:lncRNA